GAUGAACGCUGGCGGCGUGCUUAACACAUGCAAGUCCAGGGGGCCCAGCAAUGGGUAACCGGCGAACGGGUGCGUAACACGUGAGCAACCUACCGAAUUGUGGGGGAUAGCCGGCCCAACGGCCGGGUAAUACCGCAUACGAUCGAGACCAGGCAUUUGGACUCGAUGAAAUCUACGGAGCAAUUCGAGGGGCUCGCGGC
rnacentral:rRNA from 1 species